rnacentral:rRNA from 1 species
UAGGGAAUCUUCGGCAAUGGACGGAAGUCUGACCGAGCAACGCCGCGUGAGUGAUGAAGGUCUUCGGAUCGUAAAGCUCUGUUGCCAGGGAAGAAGGGCAAGGAGAGUGACUGCUCUUUGCUUGACGGUACCUGAGAAGAAAGCCCCGGCUAACUACGUGCCAGCAGCCGCGGUAAUACGUAGGGGGCGAGCGUUGUCCGGAAUUAUUGGGCGUAAAGCGCGCGCAGGCGGUUCUUUAAGUCCGGUGUUUAAGCCCGGGGCUCAACCUCGGGACGCACGGGAAACUGGGGGACUGGAGUGCAGGAGAGGGAAGCGGAAUUCCACGUGUAGCGGUGAAAUGCGUAGAGAUGUGGAGGAACACCAGUGGCGAAGGCGGCUUCCUGGCCUGUAACUGACGCUGAGGCGCGAAAGCGUGGGGAGCAAACA